GUAGGGAGCAAGCGUUAUCCGGAAUUAUUGGGUGUAAAGGGUGCGUAGACGGGAUAACAAGUUGGUUGUGAAACCCCUCGGCUUAACUGAGGAACUGCAACCAAAACUAUUAUUCUUGAGUGCAGGAGAGGAAAGUGGAAUUCCUAGUGUAACGGUGAAAUGCGUAGAUAUUAGGAAGAACACCGGUGGCGAAGGUGACUUUCUGGACUGUAACUGACGUUGAGGCACGAAAGUGUGGGGAGCAAA
rnacentral:rRNA from 1 species